rnacentral:lncRNA from 1 species
AAAAUAUUAUUCUCAGUCGUUAACCACUGCUACUACGAGAUAAAUGAAACCUAGUAACAAAGGGAGGGGAACGCGUUUGGGUCGCUGCGCUUCUCACGUUAGGUGUUCCGCGUCUCACGUCCGGCUGUAACCAGUGGCAACGCCUGGGGAACUCCACCUUCCUCCGGAAUUAGCUAGUCGGAUGGAUGACGAUGCGGGCUCACCGAAUGAAUGGUGGACAUUUAUUACCGAUCGUACAUGUCCCGUUAAUGAAUGCAGUGAUGAAAAGUUGGCGUGGGAACCGUGAAUCUGCCAUCGGAGUGCCGGGGUCGUUGGACCGAUGGUUCCAGAAGCGAGAGGGAUCCAAGGAUCGGGUUCGACGGGGUCAGAAACGAGGGCCACGUGGCAAUUCGCUGAAUCUGAUUCAAUCUGAUUGGAUUUGUAGUGUUGCUGUGCACCCGCCUCCACCGACAACCGAUGUAAACUAGUUUACGUCUUAUUCACGGCAAGGCAUUACUGAUAGCGACUUCUUGUUAGCCGUCCAAUCUCU